rnacentral:ncRNA from 1 species
GUGUUGUAUGAAAGGAGAGAAGGUUAGCACUCCCCUUGAUAAGGAUGGAAGAGGUCCUGGUGACCUUUACAACACAUAUACGGUUAAGGCAUUGCCACCUACUCUGUGGCAUCUAACCAUGUUUUUUC